CAUGUAUUAAUUGACGGUUUGUGACUUUUAUUGUGAAGGUUCUGACCAGAAGUUCUACUUAAGCUUGUAUCCAACUUUUCAGAGGCGUUAAUGUGGUUUGAGCUCCAUAGCAACCAGAUGACUGACACAUAAAAGUGGACUACAUAGUUGCAAAAAGAACUUAUCCCAGUCAGAAGGAGAUACUUUUUUUUGGAAUAGAGAGCCUAUAGAAGAAGAAAAAUGCACUCCGCAAAGGUUGGCAGACACAAACAGACUUUGGACGCUCCAUCCGAGCCGAGAACCAGGACCAAAACGCUCAGAGUCCCCCCGUUGCGUGGAAACAGAGCAGCCAGCUGUCCCAGAGCGCCCCAGAAGGGGGGUCCCUCCAAGGUGAGCUUUGAACGCAGGACCAGGUCCAGCUCCGCUGCCCCCGGACCCGACGGACUGAAAGGAAAGCGGGGCUUACAUGCAGAGUGGCGGGAAGGGAGCGAGGGUCCUGGGCAGAGGGGGCGAGGGGGCGUCCAGACUCAGAAGAAGCUUGCAAUCCAGAGCCACAACGCCUUCACUGUCAUCCCCCCUGACCCCAAGAAGAGACGGGAGAUCCAAAAAAAGGCGGAUGCCGAGCUCGCCGCUCUGGAGGAGCUGAGGCUGAGCAGAGCGAUGGCGUACGUCACCAUCCAACCCAGCACAGUUGGGGGCUGUAGCGCGAAAUUUUGAUUUUUCCGGUUUGGCUACCUAAUAAGUUGGGAAGGCAUGCCAGACCGAUGUGUGUGUCAAAUUUGGGGGCCGCAUGAGUCUGGAGGCAGUCCGGCUGAGGCAACAGCAGGAAAUGAUGCAGACCAAGAGGAAACCGAUGCGGAAGCAGCUGCUGGAGCAAACUCGUGUUCUGACGGGCUGAGCUCCACGCAAGAGAGGAGAAUCCAAACCCUUUUUUAGAGUUACACAAUGCAAUAAAUUAUGCCAAUCCAAAUAUUAUAAUAAGGGCUUUCCACGGCAACAACAAGACGUGCGGAGAAAUAAUAAGCAAUCAAAGCAUUGAUUGUAAGACAAUAUUCUACAAAAAACAACAUGAAAACAUGUCAGAAUGCAACAUAAAACUCAGUGCUUAGAGCAGGGGUGUCAAACUCAUUUUUUGGAGAAAAAUCCACUCCCAAGUGGGCCGGACUGUUAAAAUCAUGGCAUGAUAACUUAAAAAUAAAGACAACUUCAGAUUG